GAGGAGGGAUGCGACCGGCCGCUGGAGCAGAAAAAAAGCGGCUGAGAACAGCAGAGGAACAGCGGGCGGAGUGAACACAGCCUCCGGCAGCUCCGACCGGCCUCUGUCCGCGCAGCCCGGAGCCCAGCCCAGCCCCGGAGCCCGAAACCCGGCCCUCAGGAUAUUUAUAGAAAUGAUCUUCACCAUCAUCAGCUGAAGAGCAGCUCCCUCCUGCAGCUCCACACAGAACAACAUGGAGACCGGAGCGGGGGUCGCCCUGUGGACCAUCCUGCUGCUGCUGCUGACCGCCGCGUCUGAUCUGAACGGUGAUUCCACUGCAUCUCCUCCAUCCCUGACCCUUAAUAAUGUCAUCUCCACCGCUUCUCAUCUGACCCCAAAAACGGACAUUGUGGAGGUCCAGUCUGGUCCAGCCCACACUGAGACUUUACACCCUGCAGAGACAACACUCCCUCCUUCAUCAGAGCUGAACACACAGACUGCCAGCAGGAUGGAUACCUCACCUCCCCCAGCCAGUACACACACACCUGGACUAGGUCUUGAGACAGAGGCCACACAGGCUUCUGCAGAUACGAGUCCACCUCUCAUCUCAGUGAGGAGCACGGCUGUUACUCCAGGAUCCAUGAUAACUCUUUCUGCUGCAGCAUCCACAACUUCUACUGCCAGUGCCUCUGAGACGAUUCCAACAACUUCUUCAGGUCCUUCUUCCAGACCUGCUUCUACUCUGACUGCCCUGAUAGACAGAAUCCAGCCUUCAGGACCUGUUCCUCUGGAGAACCCACAUCAGGAUGGACCUUCUGAACUGGAUGUUGGAGAUGAAGAUUCAUCCAAAGUGCCUCACGCCUCUCCGUGGGAUCCCCUCCUCGCUGCUCUGGUCUCCAUCUUCAUCGUCAGCACUGCCCUGGUCUCCAUCAUGCUCUUCCUCAGGUUUCGGCAGCAAAGUGAGCACCCAGAGUUCCAUCGACUGCAGGACCUCCCCAUGGAUGACCUCUUGGAGGACACGCCUUUGUCAAGAUACUCGUAUUAAGAAGAUACUCAGGACCACUGUUUUCAUACUGAAGACCCUCAGGCCACUGAAGCCGCUGUUAAAGGUCCUAAGAACCAAAUGAGGCACUGCUUGGAUCUCCUAGUUUUACAGUUUUACAGAAAUAGCCAUACAGUAAACACUACACAGAACACCAUACUACAAGUAUGCAGACACCUUUUCUAAUGAAAUAAUUCAGCUGCACAUGUUGUUAACACAGGCAUACGCUUAGUUUUAUAAUCUAGAAUAAGAAAAAGAUAGAUUAGAGCGUAAUGGUCUGUAGUUGCCAGACAUUAACCUGAAACCACCAUGUUUCCAAAACGGGCAUUAAGCUUAGUCUCAGACUACACAGUAUUUUGAAUUAAGAUUUUCUAUUAGAAGGAAAAUAUAGUCUAUAUGACUUUCCAGGAAACCCACCUUAAGUGAGAUCCAUCACAUAUAGAACAUGUUUCUCGAGUGGGAUAUUCUUAAAACUGCAAAAAAUGGCAAAAUCUUGGCAGGUAAAGUUCUAUAAAUGGUCCAAAUAUCUUGUAACACAAUAUUAUACAUGAUACAAUACACUAAAUAAAGUAAUACUAAAAAUAUAUAAAGCUCUGGAAAAAAAUAAGAGACCACCUCAGAUUCUCUGGUCUCAUUUACAGCAUUUAUUUGCAGAAAAUGAGAAAUGGCUGAAAUAACAAAAAAGAUGCAGAGCUUUCAGACCUCAAAUAAUGCAAAGAAAACAAGUUCAUAUUCAUAAAGUUUUAAGAAAUCAAUAUUUGGUGGAAGAACUGGUGGUUUUUAAUCACAGUUUUUUUUGUGCAUCUUGGCAUCAUGUUCUCCUCCACCAGUCUUACACACUGCUUUUGGAUAACUUUAUGCCUUUUACACUCCUGGCGCAAAAAAUCAAGCAGUUCAGUUUAUUUUGGUUUGAUGGCUUGUGAUCAUCCAUCUUCCUCUGGAUUCUGUUUCAGAGGUUUUCAAUUUGAUAAAAAUCAACAUUUUUUCCAGAGCUGUAUAUAAAUAUAUACAAUAUUAUUAGAACUAGCAUCCAGAAUUCCUCUGGAAGUUCUAAUAGUGUUUUUUAUCUGUACUUAUACUUAUAUAGUGGAGCUAUAAGGUAUAACUAACUGUAGGCUUUUCUGUUAUUUUGGGGGAGUUACCUAAAACACAUUGACUGAUUCUAUGGAUUGGAAAUACCUGUGUUUGUUUUUUUGUUGUUUGGUUGAUUUUUUAAUUGUUUGCUUUUGUUCUUAAAGCGGCUCCUGCGUUUCUCAGAAAGUGGAUAAUGAUUAGAAGUGUAAAACAGGGGUUUCUGGUUUUGAGUUUGAGGGCAGGUGUGUACAGUACUGAGGUAUUGGGAUCAUUACCCAACUUAAUCUUGUGUAGAAAUUCAUCAGAACGAGCUCGGGCAGUUUUUAAGGACUUCACCGCAAUUAAGUCAUGAGAAUUUUUUUAACCACUAAACUGUUUCCUAGCCCCAAACCAUAAUUAUUUUCUUCGGUUAGGUUGUUUCAUAUGAAUUCCUGAGUUUCUUAAUAAGUUUCUCCAUGAAUAAAUGACAGAGCUCUCCUCACUUUCUCUGAUGAAGAGGUGUUAAUAUGUUCAGAAUUACAGAUCUUGCCCCACAAAAACUCUGGGAAUAUGAAAGCAGAAGAGCAGCCCCAGAAUGCUGGUUAAGCCUUUAAAGCAUGGUGGUCACUGUAAUAAACCACAUCGUUUUUCUUAUUUUUCGCUCUGCAAUCUUGUUGUGUUUAAAGAGGAAAUCUCUACAUUUCCUGAAAACUUUAACUGUUUUCUGAGGACAGUUAAAAAUGGGAAGUGACAGGAAGUGAUAGUUUUCUUGCAAUGCUGUGUCUGGCUCUCCUAACACUGGUGUUUUGAGCAGCAUAAAGAAUAUUGUACGUACUUAUUUAAAAAAUUAAUCAGAGCAAGGAAAACUUCCCAGUCUGAUACUGUUAUUAUAUAAAUCACACGUGAUACAAUCACAAUAUGAUCAGGAGAUCACAGGUUGGAAUCCCGGUAAUGCAGCUUGCCAUCAGCUGCCGGAGCCCUGAGAGAGCACCAUUGUCCUUGCUCUCUCUGGGUGGGUACAGUAGAUGGCUUUCCCCUCAUCACUCCUAGGGUGAUGUGGAUCAGCACAAGGCUGCGUCUAUGAGCUGAUGUAUCAGAACAGAGUUGCUGCCCUUUCCUCCGAGUGUUAGCGCUGUGAUGCUACUCGGCAAUGCUACAGCAUCAGGAGCAGUUCAAACAGAGGCGGAGUCUGACUUCACAUGUACUCUCCUUGUGUUCUGUGGAAUCACUAGUAAUGGGGGAUAUACAGCUGAGUAGCAGCUGAAUGGGUUGAACAAUUGGCCAGAUACAUCAGGCGAAAAACGGGAAAAAAUUGAAAUAAACAAAGCUUAAUUUUGGAUAAAAUAUAAAAAAAAGGUUGGAUUGUCUCAAUAUUAACCCUGUUUUAAUUUUCAAUCUUGUCACGCUGAGUUUAAACCCAUUAUUUUAUAGUUUUAUUAUUUAAAUUUGAAGAUAAGAAGAAAUCUGAUGAAAUGUUUAUUAAACUGUAUGUUUAUUAAAGAACAGUCUGAAAAAAAUAAUUAAAAAGUCUGAUAAAAUCUUAACGCUUAUGAAUCAUUUUCAUAAAAUAUGUAAUAUAAUUUACUUGAAUAUCUUUUCAGAUCGUAAAUACCCAAAAUAUGAUCCAAAAAGCACCGGUGUUAGAAAAUCACCCACUUCCCAGAUUAGUUAAUCUGACAUUUAAAGGGUUAAAAUAAAUCUGUAUAAAUUAAAUAACUACUAUGUGUUUCUUGUGCAAUUAGAGAAUUUCGUAUUUUGUUGUAUUGACCACAAAAACACCACUGCUGAUGUCUUUCCAUGAAACGCAGUAGGUCUGUGCAGCAUGACGAGGCGCGGCAGAUGGCUCUGAGCGCUUCUGCUUUUAAGUUUUGAUUUUACACAAAGAAAAACCUCAAGCUCCCAGUGGAGGAGGAAAGCUGUGAUUUCUCCAUGAGACUACAGACAAUUGUACCUUUUUAAUAGCACAUUAUCUCAAAAAAUGAACAACUAGCCCAACAUUACAGGCCUUCAGAACAUCCUUUAGAUUUCCAGGCCAUAUUAGCUAUUUUCAUUAUUUUUCUCAUCUCUAAAUUUCCAUUUUUUCGUUUAAAGGUAAACUCAUCAAAAAUGAAGAUUUGCAAGAAAAAAACUUUCACUUCUCCAGGGCAUGCAUUUUAGCAAAUGUUUCAAAUUUCCAGUCUCUACGUUUUCAGGUUUAACACCAUAACUAGGAAUUCAAAUUUUGUUAAAAAGUGAAAAUCUGCUCAUUCUCUCAGGUGAUUCAAUAACUACCCACACGCAAAUUUCCACACAUGCUGGGAAACCUAGAACCCUAGAGACUACCAAAAUCCCCAGGAAAUGCUACGUAUUUCUUGUAAAAGCGUGAAGUUAAAGUGUUUUCUCCAUUUUGACAUGCUGCAAAUCUGGUAGUAUUUAUAUUUAUUUUGUGUCAUUGUGUCAAAUUCAUGAUGAAUGAAUCAAAAGAAAUGUUUCAAAUUACUUUAA